UACAGAGGGUGCGAGCGUUGUUCGGAAUUACUGGGCGUAAAGCGUGCGCAGGCGGUUCGCUAAGACCGAUGUGAAAUCCCCGGGCUUAACCUGGGAACUGCAUUGGUGACUGGCGGGCUAGAGUAUGGCAGAGGGGGGUAGAAUUCCACGUGUAGCAGUGAAAUGCGUAGAGAUGUGGAGGAAUACCGAUGGCGAAGGCAGCCCCCUGGGCCAAUACUGACGCUCAUGCACGAAAGCGUGGGGAGCAAACAGG
rnacentral:rRNA from 1 species